GGGUGUAACUGAUUGGUGUCUCCUUAUACCUCAGAGGCGCAGGCUGAAUUAGCAGGGGCUGUUAUAAAAGCAUUAGAUUUCAGGCCCACAGCUGUCUCAGAAUAGGAGGGGGAGGAGGUGUUCAUGGAUCCAGUUGUGGUCCUGGUGCUCUGUCUCUCCUGUUUGCUUCUUUCACUCUGGAUACAGAGCUCUCGGAAUGGGAAGCUCCUGCCUGGCCCCACUCCUCUCCCAAUUCUUGGAAACAUUCUACAAUUAGAUGUUAAGAACAUAAGCAAAUCCUUGAGCAAUCUCUCAAAAGUCUAUGGCCCUGUGUUCACUGUGUAUUUUGGCAUGAAGCCCACGGUGUAUGGAUAUGAAGCAGUGAAGGAAGCUCUGAUUGAUCUGGGAGAGGAGUUUUCUGGAAGAGGCAGUUUCCCAGUGAUUGAAAGAAUUAAUAAAGGACUUGGAAUCCUCUUCAGCAAUGGAAAGAGAUGGAAGGAGAUCCGUCACUUCUCCCUCAUGACCCUGCGGAAUUUCGGGAUGGGGAAGAAGAGCAUUGAGGACCGUAUUCAAGAAGAAGCCUGCUGUCUCGUGAAGGAGUUGAGAAAAACCAAUGCUUCACCCUGUGAUCCCACUUUCAUCCUGGGCUGUGCUCCCUGCAAUGUGAUCUGCUCCAUUAUUUUCCAGAAUUGUUUUGAUUAUAAAAAUCAGACUUUUCUAGACAUAAUGGAAAAAAUAAAUGAAAAUCUCAAGAUUCUGAGCUCCCCAUGGUUGCAGAUCUGCAAUACUUUCCCUGCUCUCCUUGAUUAUUUCCCAGGGAGUCAUAAUAAAUUAUUUAAAAAUGUUACUCGGGUAACAGGUUAUGUUUUGGAGCAAAUAAGGGAACACCAAACAUCCCUGGACAUUAACAAUCCUCGGGACUUAAUUGAUUGUUUCCUGAUCAAGAUGGAGCAGGAAAAGCACAAUCAAAAGUUGGCAUAUACAUUUGAAAACUUGGCAUUCACGAUAUCUGAUUUGUUUGGAGCUGGGACAGAGACAACAAGCACCACUCUGAGAUAUGGUCUCCUCCUCCUGCUCAAGCACCCAGAGGCCACAGCUAAGGUCCAGGAAGAGAUUGACCAUGUGAUUGGCAGACACCGGAGCCCCUGCAUGCAGGACAGGAGCCGCAUGCCCUACACGGAUACUGUGGUGCACGAGAUCCAGAGAUACAUCGACCUCGUCCCCACCAACGUGCCUCAUGCCGUGACCUGUGACGUUAAAUUCAGAAACUACCUCAUCCCCAAGGGCAUAGACAUUAAUGUCACUAACUUCUGUACUGCAUGAUGACAAAGAAUUCCCCAACCCAGAGGUGUUUGACCUUGGCCACUUCCUGGAUGAGAGUGGCAACUUUAAGAAGAGUGAUUACUUCAUGGCUUUCUCAGCAGGAAAACGUAUUUGUGUAGGAGAGAGCUUGGCCCGCAUGGAGCUGUUUUUAUUUCUGACCACAAUUUUACAAAACUUUACCUUGAAAUCUGUGGUUGACUCAAAGGACAUUGACAUCACCCCAGUUAUCAGUGGGCUGGCUUCUGUGCCACCUCCUUACCAGCUCUGCUUCAUUCCUGUGUGAGGGAAGGUAGAUCAUAUGCCUUUUUCAGUGCUGUUGUUUUCAGCUCCCUCUCAUGUGGGGUAUUGUUCACUUUUUUCCAGUCAGUCUUUCCUGAAUGCCUUCUCUGAUCGAUCCUCUUCUCAUCAUGCAGUUUCACCACAGAAAUGUAUCUGCUAUUCUUCAUACUCUGUAACAUCUGUAUUGGCCACCAUGUAUGCUAGCACUUCUCUAAUACUGAGUAGUACUAUAUACAUAGUACUACACACA